AUACGUAGGUGGCAAGCGUUGUCCGGAAUUACGUGGGCGUAAAGGGCGAGUAGGCGGUCUUACCAGUCAGAUGUGAAAGGCGAGGGCUCAACCCUCGGACUGCAUUUGAAACUGUAAGACUUGAGUGCGGUAGAGGAAAGUGGAAUUCCCAGUGUAGCGGUGAAAUGCGUAGAUAUUGGGAGGAACACCAGUGGCGAAGGCGACUUUCUGGGCCGUAACUGACGCUGAGGCGCGAAAGCGUGGGGAGC
rnacentral:rRNA from 1 species